rnacentral:rRNA from 1 species
UACGAAGGGGGCUAGCGUUGUUCGGAAUUACUGGGCGUAAAGCGCGCGCAGGCGGUCCUUCAAGUCAGAGGUGAAAGCCCAGAGCUCAACUCUGGAAUGGCCUUUGAGACUAGAGGACUUGGGUACGGGAGAGGUGAGUGGAAUUCCGAGUGUAGAGGUGAAAAUUCGUAGAUAUUCGGAAGAACACCAGUGGCGAAGGCGGCUCACUGGCCCCGUUACCGACGCUCAGGCGCGACAGCGUGGGGGAGCAAACAGG